rnacentral:lncRNA from 1 species
CUCCUGUCCAACAGACAGAGGUGGCUGCUCAUCCUGGCUCUCAGAGGACGGGUGACUCUGGAACUGAUCCGAUCUGGACAUCCUGAUGACCUCAGGGCUGUUCAAACACACCUGGAUAGAAUCACAGCAUCUGGUCUGAAACAGUCAAACGAUGCAGCGAUUGAAUUUGCUGAAGCCAACUUCCUGAAGCUGAUCCAGAGCCUAGUGGAAGACCAGAUAGGAGGGAACACUUCUUCAAGGUGAGAGAGAGCCUAGUGGAAGACCCAGAUAGGAGGGAACACUUCUUCAAGGUGAGAGAGAGCCUAGUGGAAGACCCAGAUAGGAGGGAACACUUCUUCAAGGUGAGAGAGAGCCUAGUGGAGACCCAGAUAGGAGGGAACACUUCUUCAAGGUGAGAGAGAGCCUAGUGGAAGACCCAGAUAGGAGGGAACACUUCUUCAAGGUGAGAGAGAGCCUAGUGGAAGACACCAGAUAGGAGGGAACACUUCUUCAAGGUGAGAGAGAGCCUAGGGAAGACCCAGAUAGGAGGGAACACUUUUUCAAGGUGAGAGAGAGCCUAGUGGAAGACCCAGAAUAGGAGGGAACACUUCUUCAAGGUGAGAGAGAGCCUAGUGGAA